rnacentral:rRNA from 1 species
GUAACAUAUAGUUAAUGUACCUUCAAGACUGGGAUAGCCACUGGAAACGGUGAUUAAUACUAGAUAUACCUUCAUAUCAAGAGCUAUGAAGGGAAACGUUUUUUCGCUUGAAGAUCAGACUAUAUCCCAUCAGUUAGUUGGUAGGGUAAUGGCCUACCAAGGCAAUGACGGGUAGCGGGUUUGAGAGGAUGAUCCGCCACACUGGUACUGAGACACGGACCAGACUCCUACGGGAGGCAGCAGUGAGGAAUAUUGCACAAUGGAGGAAACUCUGAUGCAGCAACGCCGCGUGGAGGAUGACGCAUUUCGGUGUGUAAACUCCUUUUAUGAGUCAAGAAAAUGACGGUAGCUCAUGAAUAAGCACCGGCUAACUCCGUGCCAGCAGCCGCGGUAAUACGGAGGGUGCAAGCGUUACUCGGAAUCACUGGGCGUAAAGGACGCGUAGGCGGGAUGUCAAGUCAGGUGUGAAAUCCUAUGGCUCAACCAUAGAACUGCAUUUGAAACUACGAGCCUAGAGUAUGGGAGGGGGAGAUGGAAUUAGUGGUGUAGGGGUAAAAUCCGUAGAUAUCACUAGGAAUACCGAAAGCGAAGGCGAUCUCCUGGAACAUUACUGACGCUAAGGCGUGAAAGCGUGGGGAGCAAACGGGAUUAGAUACCCCGGUAGUCCACGCCCUAACGAUGUUCACUAGUCGUCGGGAUGCUUGUCAUCUCGGUGAUGCACUUAACAGAUUAAGUGAACCGCCUGGGGAGUACGGUCGCAAGAUUAAAACUCAAAGGAAUAGACGGGGACCCGCACAAGUGGUGGAGCAUGUGGUUUAAUUCGAAGAUACGCGAAGAACCUUACCUGGGCCUUGACAUUGAUAGAACACACUAGAGAUAGAGUGGUGCCCUUCGGGGAGCUUGAAAACAGGUGCUGCACGGCUGUCGUCAGCUCGUGUCGUGAGAUGUUGGGUUAAGUCCCGCAACGAGCGC